UGAAUGAAGGGCAGCGGCGGCUGCGCAUGCACCGCGCCCCCCGCCCGGGGCUGGAGGACCAUCAUUAUAUCCAUGUUUGGGAAAUUUCCCUUACUGCUGGGGGAAAGGGACUUCUCCUGAGUGAAGACUGUGGGAUCUGACUUGAAGCAAGACAAGAGAAGCAAAGCCUCUGUAUGAACAUCACAGAAUAGAAGAAAAAAGUGAUGUACAAAGCAAGGAAAAGAGAUCAGGCCGGUUUCAGCUCAGGAUCAAACCCUUGGUAAUGCUGGGCUGAGGGGAACUGUUUUCUCAUCCCACUGCCUUUCCAGAAUCCACAGUGUGUGUUCCUGCAGGAAUUCUCAGCCCUUGUCCUGCCCAGGUGAGCUCACCUGCGCCAAGUGCUUUGCCCAUGGAUCCUUUCCAGGGCUGCUGCUCAGAGAAUGGCACAAAGCUGCUGCUGAACUCCCUUCUCAUUAAUUCAUCCUCCUGGUUUUGAUAUACUGAACUGCACACCUUGCACUCUGUGCUCUGCUCCAGGCAGGCACCCAAAGGGGUCUGGAGUGGUGCAAAUAUGGGAGAUGAAAAUCAGCGUGUGCUGGACUGUGGUGGAGGUCUGGUGCUGUGCUCUGUGGGUGAUGGUCUGGAGGACAACUACUGCCAAAAAACCAAAUUAAAUUGCUUGUUUUUCGCCCA